rnacentral:tRNA from 1 species
UCCGGUGUAGCUCAAUGGUAGAGCGCCCGCCUGUUAAGCGGGUGGUUGGAGGUUCGAUUCCUCCCGCCGGAGCCG